UUUUCUUGUGCCUCCAGAUCUGCGCUGAACCAAAGCGAUACCCGCCCCUCCCCAUCCCCAUCCCCGAGUCACAUGCUGAGACUCAUUCAAUCCAAAGAUCAAGGGCAGGAGGAGAGAUCAUCUCAGUGCUCAACGCAAGCAUGGAACAAACAAACCACCGUGCCGCUCCGCAGGCCAACAUGGAGCUGACACCGGCAGCUGGAAGCAAAGCCCUUGGCAUGAGAUGCAGCGAUGCCUGCACCCACCAUCUCGAAAGGAGGAAGAAGACGGCCUCUUUCAGACAGAUGCCCAGUCUGGAUGGACAGACAUCUGUGUGACACCGUCCUAACCCACCUGCUGCCAGUACUGUUUCCUGUAAAAUUUGCCUGGAGGGGCCUGACUCAGAGAAGCAGAGCCAUGGACGCAGCCCAGGCAUGGACAGAGGCAAGUCCUCUGACGUCUCAACCAGCCCCAAAUGAACAGACCCUGAAGAACCCUC